CGCUUAUUUUGGUUAUCUCGAC
rnacentral:miRNA from 1 species